rnacentral:tRNA from 1 species
GGCGCUAUAGCCAAGUGGUUACGGCGACAGAUUAGAAUCUAAGGCAAAUAGACUUGUAUCUGUUCCUCUUUGAGGGCGCAGGUUCGAAUCCUGCUGGCGUCG